GGUGAGAUGGCCGAGUUGGUCUAAGGCGUGAGACUAGGGAUCUCAUCUCUUCGGGGGCGUGGGUUCAAAUCCCACUCCCAUCA
rnacentral:tRNA from 1 species